CUCCCCCCGCCCCAAGGAAUCCUUUGUGGACAUGCUGGCAAGGAAGCUCCCGCAAUGAGAGCUGCUUUGGAAGAUCAUUUGGCCAGGGUCCCUGCGCUGCCACCAAUCUAGCGCACCAAGCGAGGAAUUCCAGAGACAAGGGAUGUUCGUCGUUUUCAGAGGCUACAGCACCUGCCCGCGGGAUCGGAGCCUAUCUGGCUACACAGAGCCAUGCCCCACGCAGAGGAAGCCGCCCCCCCCACAUAUCACCACCCGGGAAGGGCAGACUGAGAACCAGUCAUGGCCCUAGGGGAUGGAUCCCUUCAGCACCAGAGCUUUACAAGCCAGGAUUCUCUUUUCUACAGAAGAGAGGAAAACCAGGACUCAACUGCAGCGGAGUUGCCCAGAUGCAAAUAAAUGGCCCGACACGUCCACAUCCCUUAGAUCGACCAACCCCCUUCUUUCUCAAAAGGUCC